rnacentral:rRNA from 1 species
UACGUAGGGUGCGAGCGUUAAUCGGAAUGACUGGGCGUAAAGGGUGCGCAGGCGGUUCUAUAAGACAGAUGUGAAAUCCCCGGGCUCAACCUGGGAACUGCAUUUGUGACUGUAGAGCUGGAGUGCGGCAGAGGGGGAUGGAAUUCCGCGUGUAGCAGUGAAAUGCGUAGAUAUGCGGAGGAACACCGAUGGCGAAGGCAAUCCCCUGGGCCUGCACUGACGCUCAUGCACGAAAGCGUGGGGAGCAAACAGG